AGCUACUCCUGAUUGCAACGGCAUCCUUUUUUGAGGCACGAGAAAAAGAUAUAGUGGAAAGCAGGAAGAAAC
rnacentral:sRNA from 1 species